rnacentral:misc_RNA from 1 species
CCAAUAGCGUAUAUUAAAGUUGUUGCAGUUAAAAAGCUCGUAGUUGAAUUUCGGAGUUUAUCGGUUGGUCGGGCUUCACUGUCCGCACUGACCUGAUGGAUUCCUACCUUCUGAAUAACCGGCAUGCUAUUAAGUUAGUGCGUUGGGGAAGCAGAGCUAUUACCUUGAAAAAAUUAGAGUGCUUAAAGCAGGCUUAUGCUUGAAUAGAUUAGCAUGGAAUAAUAAAAUAGGACGGCAUGGUUCUAUUUUGUUGGUUUCUAGGAUCACCGUAAUGAUUAAUAGGGAUAGUUGGGGGCAUUAGUAUUCAAUUGUCAGAGGUGAAAUUCUUGGAUUUAUUGAAGACUAACUUCUGCGAAAGCAUUUGCCAAGGAUGUUUUAAUUAAUCAAGAACGAAAGUUAGGGGAUCGAAGACGAUCAGAUACCGUCGUAGUCUUAACCAUAAACUAUGCCGACUAGGGAUCGGACGAUGUUAAUUUUUUAAUGACUCGUUCGGCGCCUUACG